rnacentral:rRNA from 1 species
AGAGUUUGAUCCUGGCUCAGGACGAACGCUGGCGGCGUGCUUAACACAUGCAAGUCGAACGGGAUCCUGGCUUCGGUCAGGUGAGAGUGGCGAACGGGUGAGUAACGCGUAGGCAAUCUGCCCUUGGGUGGGGGAUAGCCCCGGGAAACCGGGAUUAAUACCGCAUGACGCGUCGGGGUCGCAUGGCCUUGGCGUUAAAGAUUUAUCGCCCAGGGAUGAGCCUGCGUUGCAUUAGCUAGUUGGUGGGGUAACGGCUCACCAAGGCGACGAUGCAUAGCUGGUCUGAGAGGAUGAUCAGCCACACUGGGACUGAGAUACGGCCCAGACUCCUACGGGAGGCAGCAGUGAGGAAUAUUGGACAAUGGGCGCAAGCCUGAUCCAGCAACGCCGCGUGAACGAUGACGCUGCUCUGCAGUGUAAAGUUCUGUAAGGAGGGACGAGGACCGGGGUAUUGCCCCGGGGGGACGGUACCUCUUAAGUAAGCACCGGCUAACUCCGUGCCAGCAGCCGCGGUAAUACGGGGGGUGCAAGCGUUGUCCGGAUUUAUUGGGCGUAAAGGGCUCGUAGGCGGGAUGGUAAGUCUGGCGUGAAAUCUCUCGGCUCAACCGGGAAGCUGCGCUGGAAACUGCCGUUCUUGAGUCACGGAGAGGAAGUUGGAAUUCCUGGUGUAGCGGUGGAAUGCGUAGAUAUCAGGAAGAACACCAAUAGCGAAGGCAAACUUCUGGCCGUCGACUGACGCUGAGGAGCGACAGCGUGGGGAGCGAACAGGAUUAGAUACCCUGGUAGUCC